AGAACGAACGCUGGCGGCAUGCCUAAUACAUGCAAGUCGAACGAACUCUUCGGAGUUAGUGGCGCACGGGUGCGUAACGCGUGGGAAUCUGCCCCUUGGUUCGGAAUAACAGUUGGAAACGACUGCUAAUACCGGAUGAUGACGAAAGUCCAAAGAUUUAUCGCCAAGGGAUGAGCCCGCGUAGGAUUAGCUAGUUGGUGAGGUAAAGGCUCACCAAGGCAACGAUCCUUAGCUGGUCUGAGAGGAUGAUCAGCCACACGUGGGACUGAGA
rnacentral:rRNA from 1 species